GCCUAACAGACAUUAAGAUUUAUGGAUUUUACAGAAGCAUAUAGUCCUGACAAUAAUUGACAUUCAAAAGAUGCAUAUACACCAUAAUCAACAUUUUCCAAAAUUGAGAGUUAUGGACAACCUUUUGAAGAAAUUAUGAGCCCUUACUUUUAUUUGAAGAACUUCGGAACUGUGUACCUUAGCUCCACGGU